UAGACCCCCGUUGGGGGCCAACUCCUCCAGUAAAAUGGCGGCCUCCUCUUCACUUCGCCUCCCGUUCUCUUCACUCACACUCAGAAACCCUAGCUCUCUCUUCGUCUCCCCUCUCCCCAAAUCUCGCUCACUCCUUCAAAACCCUAUAAAUAUUAGGGUUUUCUGCUCGUCGCUGAGCCCCAACGAUCGUGAAGAGGGCUCGCAGACGAGAUGGGAAUCCUUCCGCAAGAAAAAGGUCGUGAUGCGUGUUGGAUACGUCGGUACUGAUUACAAAGGGCUUCAGAAGCAGCCGCACGAGGAUCCUUUAUCGACUAUUGAAGGAGAACUGGAACACGCCAUCUACAAAGCUGGAGGGAUUCAUGAUAGUAAUUAUGGAAACUUGCAUAAAAUUGGAUGGGCCAGAAGUAGCCGAACUGACAAAGGAGUCCAUUCCUUGGCAACUAUGAUUUCAUUAAAGAUGGAGAUACCUGAACAUGCAUGGCAGGAAGAUCCUAACGGUAUUGCACUGGCAAGUUAUGUUAACAUGAAUUUGCCUAAGAAUGUCAAAGUCUUCAGCAUUUUACCUUCCCAAGGGAGUUUUGAUGCAAGAAGGGAAUGCACAAUCCGUAUGUACUCAUAUCUCCUUCCUGCAGAGGUUAUUGGGAUCACAAGGGACUGUGGUUCUCUGGAAAUUGAUAACCAUCUAACAGAAUUCAGUAGCAUAUUGAAUUGUUUCGAGGGAGAGCAUGCUUUCCAUAACUACACUGUUCGUUCCAAAUAUAGGCAGCAGACUCCUGGAAAGAGUCACAAUAUGAGAAGAUCUAGACUGUAUCAGGAUAAAAUGGCAUCUGAGGUCAUAGGGAGCGAUGAGGAGGAUACAACAGAUCAGUGUGAAGAACAUUUGAAUUCCAUGUGUAAUGGUGAAUCUGGUUUUCAUGAAUAUGCCUCUCUUGGAAAACAAAAGGAUAUUUUGAGAAGUUCAGAUUCUUUAGUUGUUAAAGCGAGAUGGCUUCAUGAACCUGACGAAAUGGAUAGAAUUAGUGGAUCCCACUUCAGAAAAAUCUUUGAAUGUUCUUGUGGGAAGUUUGAGAAGUCAUCAGGAUUCAAUUAUAUUGAAGUCUCGAUUUGUGGGGAAUCCUUCAUGCUUCACCAAAUUCGGAAAAUGGUCGGAACUGCAGUUGCAGUGAAACGAGGAUUGCUACCACGGGAUAUACUAGAGUUGUCCGUUGCCAAGUUUUCUCGCAUUGUUCUACCUCUUGCUCCAUCUGAAGUUCUACUUCUCAAGGGCAACAGCUUUGCGAUCAGAACUCGUCCUGGAAAUAUGACUCGCCCCGAAAUGAGAAGAAUUGUAGAAUCUGAAGAAAUCCAGAAGGAAGUUGAUGAGUUCUACUCUUCUGUGAUUUUGCCUCAGCUCUCAAAGUUCUUAGAUCCAUCCAAAUCCCCAUGGAAAGAAUGGGUAGACAACUUGGAUAAGCACACAAGCAUCCCAGAGGAGGAGUUGAAUGAAGUAAGAAUAGCAUGGAAAGGUUGGAAAGAAAAUUUUGAAAAGACGAAGAGUGAAAAGGCAAAAAACUUCUGUACGGUUGGAAAAUAGCAUCUAGAUUUGGCAAUUUCAUGAAUGUUGCCUGUAUGGGAGUUUUGAGAUCAGCCAAAGAAUAUCCAUGAGCAAUGCACUUUUCUAAAGAAUUUUUUUUCUCCAUAAAAUAAUCUUUAGCUUUAUUCAGCGCAAUAAUACUACAUGAACCUUCAGAUUUAAGAAGAAUUAUGAUUCGUUAUUUGGCUUCUUUGCACGGAACAAAAUGGAUUCUCUGCAAACAUGGGUCUCUCAGCACAAGCUCACAAGCAUUGGAACAAUGUGGGCUUCUGCAGUGGGAGCUUCUUUAGCUUACAACGCCAAGAGAAGCGCUAUGAAACCCAGCCUUUGCUUGAUUCAUGCAAGGAUUCAUGCUCAAGCUCUGACACUGGCUGUGCUCUGUGGCGCUGCGAUUAAGCAUUACUAUGACAUUGAAGAAUGAAUAAGGAUAUAGUGAAGUGAACUUAUUUGGAGUUAUGCAGGGUACUUAUUUGUAAAUGAGCUUUAUCUAAUGGCUAUUGGAACUUAAUGAAUAGACGUAGUUAGUCUCAGUAGCUUCUUUGAUUA